GAAAUUCGUAGAUAUUAGAAAGAAUACCAAUUGCGAAGGCAGCUUUCUGGAUCAUUACUGACACUGAGGAACGAAAGCAUGGGUAGCGAAGAGGAUUAGAUACCCUCGUAGUCCAUGCCGUAAACGAUGUGUGUUAGACGUUGGAAAUUUAUUUUCAGUGUCGCAGCGAAAGCGAUAAACACACCGCCUGGGGAGUACGACCGCAAGGUUAAAACUCAAAUGAAUUGACGGAGACCCGCACAAGUAGUGGAGCAUGUGGUUUAAUUCGAAGAUACGCGCAGAACCUUACCAACACUUGACAUGUUCGUCGCGACUUUAAGAGAUUAAAGUUUUCGGUUCGGCCGGACGAAACACAGGUGCUGCAUGGCUGUCGUCAGCUCGUGUCGUGAGAUGUUGGGUUAAGUCCCGCAACGAGCGCAACCCUCACUUUUAGUUGCCAUCAUUAAGUUGGGCACUCUGAAAGAACUGCCAGUGAUAAGCUGGAGGAAGGUGGGGAUGACGUCAAGUCCUCAUGGCCCUUACGUGUUGGGCUACACACGUGCUACAAUGGUAUCUACAACAGGAAGCAAGACGGCGACGUCAAGCAAAUCCUUAAAAGAUACCUCAGUUCGGAUUGCACUCUGCAACUCGAGUGCAUGAAGCUGGAAUUACUAGUAAUCGUGGAUCAGCGUGCCACGGUGAAUGCGUUCCCGGGUCUUGUACACACCGCCCGUCACACCAUGGGAGUUGGUUCUACCUUAAGGCAAGGUUUAAAACCCUUGACCACGGUAUAGUCAGCGACUGGGGUGAAGUCGUAACAAGGUA
rnacentral:rRNA from 1 species